rnacentral:rRNA from 1 species
AGAGUUUGAUCAUGGCUCAAAAUGAACGCUGGCGGCGUGCUUAACACAUGCAAGUCGAACGGAAACAGGAAGAGCUUGCUCUUUGCUGUCGAGUGGCGCACGGGUGAGUAAUAUAUAGUUAACGUGCCUCUUAGCCUGGGAUAGCCACUGGAAACGGUGAUUAAUACCGGAUACGCCUUCUACUUACAAGAGUAGUUGGGAAAGGUUUUUCGCUAAGAGAUCGGACUAUAUUGUAUCAGCUAGUUGGUGAGGUAAGAGCUCACCAAGGCAAUGACACAUAGCGGGUUUGAGAGGAUGAUCCGCCACACUGGUACUGAGACACGGACCAGACUCCUACGGGAGGCAGGCAGUGAGGAAUAUUGCACAAUGGGCGAAAGCCUGAUGCACCAACGCCGCGUGGAGGAUGACGCAUUUCGGUGUGUAAACUCCUUUUAUAAGAGAAGAAAAUGACGGUAUCUUAUGAAUAAGUCCCGGCUAACUCCGUGCCAGCAGCCGCGGUAAUACGGAGGGGACAAGCGUUAUUCGGAAUCACUGGGCGUAAAGGACGCGUAGGCGGGUUAUUAAGUCGGGUGUGAAAUCCAAUGGCUCAACCAUUGAACUGCAUUCGAAACUGAUAACCUAGAGUAUGGAAGGGGCAGGUGGAAUUAGUGGUGUAGGGGUAAAAUCCGUAGAUAUCACUAGGAAUACCGAAAGCGAAGGCGACCUGCUGGGACAUUACUGACGCUGAGGCGUGAAAGCGUGGGGAGCAAACAGGAUUAGAUACCCUGGUAGUCCACGCCCUAAACGAUGAAUGCUAGUCGUCGGGGAGCUCGUCUCUUCGGUGAUGCACUUAACAGAUUAAGCAUUCCGCCUGGGGAGUACGGUCGCAAGAUUAAAACUCAAAGGAAUAGACGGGGACCCGCACAAGUGGUGGAGCAUGUGGUUUAAUUCGAAGAUACGCGAAGAACCUUACCUAGCCUUGACAUUGAUUGAUCUUCCAGAGAUGGAGGAGUGCCUUCGGGAAC